UCCCGGUGAGAACGAUGGGCGGGCAGCUGGCUUCAAGGAAAACAGGGAGGGAGGGUGGGCUGCUCUCCCCUCAGCGUGUCAGGAAGAUGGUCGGUUUGGGAGGGGCUAGGAAAAGGGACGCGGUGCCGGAUUUGUCUGCUUUGGGUCUUGGGUCCUUGUAAAGGCCACUUACCUGUGGAAAAUUAUGCGAGGCUGUGUGGCAGAGAGAGGGGGAAGGGGAUGAAUAUGAAUAGAAUAGCCACGCUUCAGCCAAAGUACCAGUGCCUUACAUACACGGUGUCACCUCAUCCUCACAGCAAAAUCUUACAGAUCUGGGCAUUUCAGGCCCGGCGCCACCAGCCACGGGUGAAUAUAGAACACGUGAAACGUGGGUAGUCUGAACUGAUAAGUGCUUUCAGUGUGAAAUACCCAGAGGAUCCCAUGGAUUCCAUAAGUUAAAAGAAUGUUAAAUGUUCCAUUACUCAUUUUGUAUAUUAAUUACAUAUCAAAAUAUUUUGGAUAUAUUUUGAAAUUAAUCUCACUAGUUUCUGUUAACUUUUUAAGUAACUUCUAGACUAGCAAUAGCUACUAGAACAUUUUAAAUGACCAGUGUGGUUCACAUUGGAUUCCUAUUGAACAGCACUAUUCUGGAGCAAACUAUCCCGAUGUCAGUGCUCAGGAAGGGGCUGACAGAGCUGAGUAGCCAGAAAGCCAGUAAAUGAAGGCACCUAGACUCCUUCUACAAAGAGAAGGCCCCCGGUGAGUGUUCAAGGUUUGGUUAGGAUGAGGUAUGGCCCAACCUAAUUCUUCUCGAAGAUGAUUUUAACAGUGGGCCAGGUGAGCAGGGACCUGGGACUGCUUUUGUUUCUCAGCACAUCCUGCUUUUCCUCUCUGGGGCCGGUUUCUCCAACUAUAAAAUAUUGAUAAUUAUAGGAGCCCUGAAGCCAGCUUUGUGAGCAGGAAAUGAGCAGCUCUAUAUGAAAGCGGGUCGAGUUUCUGGAGCAAAAAUACCCCAUAAAACCCAAGGUGAUGCAGUCAUAAAUACUAAGCCUAUUUGUCAUGUUACUAGUGAGCAUAUAUCUGAGGUGCGUGGGCAAAACCAUGGCUUUAUCACCCUGCUUUAGGAAGCUGGUCUUUCAGGGUGCCCCCACCACACAGGCAGGCACCUGGGGCCUCCUCUCACAGUGGGUGGGGUUUCCUAGACUCUCCUCCUCUUUCCCCUCCCCACAUGGCUGGGGCCCCACUAGGGCCCAUCCCACAAGUGCUGUUCCCAGGUUCCUAGGGUUGGACCUCCACUUGCUCUCCACCUUUAUCGCCAACUCACAGGUCUUGGGCUCUUCACGGCCAGCUGGAGUCUUCCAGAGCCUCUCCAGAGAAUGGCCUGCUCCAGUAACUUCACUGAUUACACAGUUCCACAAAGCCUUUCUGGAGAUAAUUGCCUCUUGGCCUUUGUUGUUUCAACCAUGGUAUGCCAAAGAAGAGAGAUGAUAAGACCAGGAAGGGAUGCUAUUGGGGAUGUGAGGACUCUAACAGGUGGGCAUCUCUUUGCCUGUGGAAGUGUAGAUCACCCUGUGGAGUGUGCCCACUUGGCUGCAUCCUGAUUGGGUUGUUAAGCAAGUCACCUAACCUCUCAGAGCCUCUCUUACUGGUCUGAAAUUUGGAAAUCGGUUGUAUUAUGUUGUGAAGAUGAGAGACUGUCUGUGAACUGGACCUUUAGUGUACAUGCAGUCAAUAAGUAAGUAGUCAAUAAGUAAGUGACAUUUCUUACAGCAGGGCCUCUGUGGGUUACUGGCAGCCAAUGUUCUUCCCAAGGCUGCCUUCUCCUGCCCCAACCUUCUUACUUGUUUGCCCAUGCCUCCUCCAACACCUGCCCCUGAUGUCAGAGAACUGUGGGAGGCAGUUAGACAGACCUGAGCAGAGCAAGGAUGAUGGGCCAGGUACAGAAGGUCACCAAGGCAGAAAGCUCUGGGUGCCUAGCAACAGGCAAAUUUGGGAAAACAAGGACCUCACCCCCAAGGUAACCUUUCCUCCCCUAGUGUAUCACAUAAUCUCUGUGUUCCAAGUGCCUCAUCUGUCAUGUGGUUUGGACCCCUGACCUUUCAUAUCGCUGGUCAUGAGGUUCAGAUCCUCCCCUGACCUUCCCUCCCCUGGCAUGUCGUUAGUCAUGUGGUAGUCCCCUUCAGAGGAGGAACAAGGGCCGAAGAGUGGCCUCAUUCAACUCCCAUGUAGACCCUUGCUGGACCCCUCCCUUCAGCAUUAACCCCUAGGCCUCAGUUGUGUUUCAGCUCCAGGCCCAGAAAAGUAGCAAAACAAGACAAGUGAUGCAGUAGCUGAGAUCAGGACCAGCUGCAUUGACUAAUGACCCCUGAAAGGACACCCCUGGAAAGCUGAUGAAUAUUCUAUUGGGAUCCAUCCCUGAGACCUCCAGGCCUCUUUCACGCUGAAAUGGAAGCUGCCAAAGCAUUUGGGUGGGGUUACCACCCACACUUCAUGGGGCCAAGCUGCAGGCAGAAAGGGUGCUGGUCAUUCUCACCGAGGCUCCAGAGCUCAAGGUUUACAGAUCAUCAUAUCACAUCAAUUAAUCCACAGUGUUUAGGAAGAAGAAGAUUAACUGAGUCAGUUCCCAUUGAUCACAACAACUUACCAAACACGAAGUUGUCGGG